rnacentral:rRNA from 1 species
AUGCACGCUGGCGGCGUGCUUAACACAUGCAAGUCGAACGAUGAGGCCCAGCUUGCUGGGUGGAUUAGUGGCGAACGGGUGAGUAACACGUGAGUAACCUGCCCUUGACUCUAGGAUAAGCCCGGGAAACUGGGUCUAAUACUGGAUAGGAACGUCUACCGCAUGGUGGGUGUUGGAAAGAAUUUCGGUCAUGGAUGGACUCGCGGCCUAUCAGCUUGUUGGUGAGGUAAUGGCUCACCAAGGCGACGACGGGUAGCCGGCCUGAGAGGGUGACCGGCCACACUGGGACUGAGACACGGCCCAGACUCCUACGGGAGGCAGCAGUGGGGAAUAUUGCACAAUGGGCGAAAGCCUGAUGCAGCGACGCCGCGUGAGGGAUGACGGCCUUCGGGUUGUAAACCUCUUUCAGUAGGGAAGAAGCGAAAGUGACGGUACCUGCAGAAGAAGCACCGGCUAACUACGUG